rnacentral:misc_RNA from 1 species
CCUUCCCCCUUGAUCACUAU